rnacentral:rRNA from 1 species
AACGAACGCUGGCGGCAGGCCUUAUACAUGCAAGUCGAGCGCAUCCUUCGGGAUGAGCGGCGGACGGGUGAGUAACGCGUGGGAAUGUGCCCUUCUCUACGGAAUAGCCACUGGAAACGGUGAGUAAUACCGUAUACGCCCUCAGGGGGAAAGAUUUAUCGGAGAAGGAUCAGCCCGCGUUAGAUUAGGUAGUUGGUGGGGUAACGGCCUACCAAGCCUACGAUCUAUAGCUGGUUUUAGAGGAUGAUCAGCCACACUGGGACUGAGACACGGCCCAGACUCCUACGGGAGGCAGCAGUAGGGAAUCUUGGACAAUGGGGGCAACCCUGAUCCAGCCAUGCCGCGUGAGUGAAGAAGGCCCUAGGGUCGUAAAGCCCUUUCGCCUGUGAUGAUAAUGACAGUAGCAGGUAAAGAAACCCCGGCUAACUCCGUGCCAGCAGCCGCGGUAAUACGGAGGGGGUUAGCGUUGUUCGGAAUUACUGGGCGUAAAGCGCGCGUAGGCGGAUUGGAAAGUUGGGGGUGAAAUCCCGGGGCUCAACCCCGGAACUGCCUUCAAAACUCCCAGUCUAGAGUUCGAGAGAGGUGAGUGGAAUUCCGAGUGUAGAGGUGAAAUUCGUAGAUAUUCGGAAGAACACCAGUGGCGAAGGCGGCUCACUGGCUCGAUACUGACGCUGAGGUGCGAAAGUGUGGGGAGCAAACAGGAUUAGAUACCCUGGUAGUCCACACCGUAAACGAUGAAUGCCAGUCGUCGGAUAGUAUACUAUUCGGUGACACACCUAACGGAUUAAGCAUUCCGCCUGGGGAGUACGGUCGCAAGAUUA